UAGGGGGAUAUAGGGGGUGAGAGUAUAACGUUAUAGUUAUGAUUAGGGAUUAAUCCUAGGGGGAUAUUC
rnacentral:tRNA from 1 species